UACGUAGGAUGCAAGCGUUGUCCGGAUUUACUGGGCGUAAAGCGCGCGCAGGCGGCAGGUUAAGUAAGGUGUGAAAUCUCCCUGCUCAACGGGGAGGGUGCACUUUAGACUGACCAGCUAGAGGGCGGUAGAGGGUGGUGGAAUUGCUGGUGUAGCGGUGAAAUGCGUAGAGAUCAGCAGGAACACCCGUGGCGAAGGCGGUCACCUGGGCCGUACCUGACGCUGAGGCGCGAAGGCUAGGGGAGCGAACGGG
rnacentral:rRNA from 1 species